rnacentral:rRNA from 1 species
AGAGACCUCAAGCGUUAUCCGGAUUUAUUGGGGCGUAAAGCGUCUGUAGGCGGCUUAUUAAGUCUUCGGUCAAAUCUUAGGGCUCAACCCUGAGACUGCCGGAGAAACUAAUAAGCUAGAGACUGGAAGAGGCAAGUAGAACUGUCGGUGUAGUAGUAAAAUGCGUUAAUAUCGACAGGAAUACUCAAGGCGAAGGCAUCUUGCUGGAACAGUUCUGACGCUGAGAGACGAAAGCGUGGGUAGCGAAUGGGAUUAGAUACCCCAGUAGUCCACGCCGUAAACGAUGGAUGCUAGACAUUGGUAGUAUCGACCCUAUCAGUGUCGUUUAACUAAGCUAACGCGUUAAGCAUCCCGCCUGGGGAGUACGAGCGCAAGCUUA